ACAGAUGGGAGCUUGCUCCCUGAUGUUAGCGGCGGACGGGUGAGUAACACGUGGGUAACCUGCCUGUAAGACUGGGAUAACUCCGGGAAACCGGGGCUAAUACCGGAUGGUUGUUUGAACCGCAUGGUUCAGACAUAAAAGGUGGCUUCGGCUACCACUUACAGAUGGACCCGCGGCGCAUUAGCUAGUUGGUGAGGUAACGGCUCACCAAGGCAACGAUGCGUAGCCGACCUGAGAGGGUGAUCGGCCACACUGGGACUGAGACACGGCCCAGACUCCUACGGGAGGCAGCAGUAGGGAAUCUUCCGCAAUGGACGAAAGUCUGACGGAGCAACGCCGCGUGAGUGAUGAAGGUUUUCGGAUCGUAAAGCUCUGUUGUUAGGGAAGAACAAGUGCCGUUCAAAUAGGGCGGCACCUUGACGGUACCUAACCAGAAAGCCACGGCUAACUACGUGCCAGCAGCCGCGGUAAUACGUAGGUGGCAAGCGUUGUCCGGAAUUAUUGGGCGUAAAGGGCUCGCAGGCGGUUUCUUAAGUCUGAUGUGAAAGCCCCCGGCUCAACCGGGGAGGGUCAUUGGAAACUGGGGAACUUGAGUGCAGAAGAGGAGAGUGGAAUUCCACGUGUAGCGGUGAAAUGCGUAGAGAUGUGGAGGAACACCAGUGGCGAAGGCGACUCUCUGGUCUGUAACUGACGCUGAGGAGCGAAAGCGUGGGGAGCGAACAGGAUUACAUACCCUGGUAGUCCACGCCGUAAACGAUGAGUGCUAA
rnacentral:rRNA from 1 species